AUGGAUGAAGCAGCAAUGAUUCGAAAAAGAUUUGGAGAUGAACAAAGCACGCUGUUAGACCAAUUUGAGAGGCUAUCUUUUGAGACACAUCUCAACAAAGCAAUGUUACAAAGAAGUUUAUCAGAACCAAGAUUUGUGAAGCAAGGACGAAGGUGUCGCGGUUCCGGGUUUCGAAAGGUGGUUAAGAAAUUGUUGAAACCUUUUCUUUGGAGGAAAAAUGGAGCAAGAAAAGAAGAUGUGGAGUUUCAGAAUCCAUUGUCUUGGAAGGCGUUUACCGUCUAUAAGGAGGUGUCGAAGACGAAAGUUUGGUCGAGGUGA